AGUCGUUUAUUAUCUGGUGUGGUAUCAUCAAGAUUCACAUGAAACCUAGUUGUUUCAAUGGUGAUGAUGAGAAUCUUGAUGAUGCUGCAUCGGAAAAAAAUGACU
rnacentral:pre_miRNA from 1 species